rnacentral:rRNA from 1 species
UUGCACCUACCAAUUGAAUGGUCCGGUGAGGCCUCAGUAUUUUGACCCCUGCUAUUCAGUUAGUGGGGGGCAUAAGAACUUGUCCAAACCUUAUCGUUUAGAGUAAGGUG